rnacentral:rRNA from 1 species
UACAGAGGUCUCAAGCGUUGUUCGGAUUCAUUGGGCGUAAAGGGUGCGUAGGCGGCGCGGUAAGUCGGGUGUGAAAUCUCGGGGCUUAACUCCGAAACUGCAUUCGAUACUGCCGUGCUUGAGGACUGGAGAGGAGACUGGAAUUUACGGUGUGGCGGUGAAAUGCGUAGAUAUCGAUAAGGAAGACCAGUGGCGAAGGCGGGUCUCUGGACAGUUCCUGACGCUGAGGCACGAAGGUCAGGGGAGGCAAACGGG